GACGAACGCUGGCGGCGUGCUUAACACAUGCAAGUCGAACGAAGAGCGAUGGAAGCUUGCUUCUAUCAAUCUUAGUGGCGAACGGGUGAGUAACGCGUAAUCAACCUGCCCUUCAGAGGGGGACAACAGUUGGAAACGACUGCUAAUACCGCAUACGAUCUAAUCUCGGCAUCGAGGAUAGAUGAAAGGUGGCCUCUACAUGUAAGCUAUCACUGAAGGAGGGGAUUGCGUCUGAUUAGCUAGUUGGAGGGGUAACGGCCCACCAAGGCGAUGAUCAGUAGCCGGUCUGAGAGGAUGAACGGCCACAUUGGGACUGAGACACGGCCCAGACUCCUACGGGAGGCAGCAGUGGAGAAUCUUCCGCAAUGGACGAAAGUCUGACGAAGCAACGCCGCGUGAGUGAUGACGGCCUUCGGGUUGUAAAGCUCUGUUAAUCGGGACGAAAGGCCUUCUUGCGAAUAGUGAGAAGGAUUGACGGUACCGGAAUAGAAAGCCACGGCUAACUACGUG
rnacentral:rRNA from 1 species